CCUACGGGGGGCAGCAGUGGGGAAUAUUGGGCAAUGGGGGAAACCCUGACGCAGCAACGCCGCGUGCAGGAAGAAGGUCUUCGGAUUGUAAACUGUUUUUCUAGGGGAAGAAGAAAGUGACGGUACCUUGUGAGUAAGUCUCGGCUAACUACGUGCCAGCAGCCGCGGUAAUACGUAGGUGGCAAGCGUUGUCCGGAUUUACUGGGUGUAAAGGGCGCGUAGGCGGGAUGACAAGUCAGUCGAGAAAUGCCGAAGCUUAACUUCGGAACUGCGAUUGAAACUGUUAUUCUUGAGUAUAGGAGAGGAAAGCGGAAUGCCUAGUGUAGCGGUGAAAUGCGUAGAUAUUAGGAGGAACACCAGUGGCGAAGGCGGCUUUCUGGACGACAACUGACGCUGAGGCGCGAAAGUGUGGGGAGCAAACAGGAUUAGAUACCCGAGUAGUC
rnacentral:rRNA from 1 species